CAACCCUCGAACCCCUCCGGGGGUCCGGCGUUGGGGAUCGGGAACCCCUAAGACGGGAUCCCGGCCCCGAAAUACAGUGGCGGUCUCGCCGCAGCCUCUCAUGCGCAGUAGUUUGCACAACUCGCACCGGGAGCGCGGCGCGUCCACGUCCGUAAAACACCCAACUUCUGAAAUG
rnacentral:rRNA from 2 species